rnacentral:rRNA from 1 species
ACGGGUGAGUAAUACAUCGGAACGUGUCCUGGAGUGGGGGAUAGCCCGGCGAAAGCCGGAUUAAUACCGCAUACGCUCUACGGAGGAAAGCGGGGGAUCUUCGGACCUCGCGCUCAAGGGGCGGCCGAUGGCGGAUUAGCUAGUUGGUAGGGUAAAGGCCUACCAAGGCGACGAUCCGUAGCUGGUCUGAGAGGACGACCAGCCACACUGGGACUGAGACACGGCCCAGACUCCUACGGGAGGCAGCAGUGGGGAAUUUUGGACAAUGGGGGCAACCCUGAUCCAGCAAUGCCGCGUGUGUGAAGAAGGCCUUCGGGUUGUAAAGCACUUUUGUCCGGAAAGAAAUCCUCUGGGUUAAUACCCCGGGGGGAUGACGGUACCGGAAGAAUAAGCACCGGCUAACUACGUGCCAGCAGCCGCGGUAAUACGUAGGGUGCGAGCGUUAAUCGGAAUUACUGGGCGUAAAGCGUGCGCAGGCGGUCCGCUAAGACCGAUGUGAAAUCCCCGGGCUUAACCUGGGAACUGCAUUGGUGACUGGCGGGCUAGAGUGUGGCAGAGGGGGGUAGAAUUCCACGUGUAGC